GGCCGCCUGGCGAAAUGGCAUCGCGUCUGACUACGAUAGCAUCAAUUGAUCCUUAUAAUCGUAUAAUCAGGAGAUUGCAGGUUCGACCCCUGCGGUGGUCA